UCUGAUAUGGUGUAAUGGUAGCAUGUCUGACUGUCUCUCAGAAGAUCUGGGUUCAAUUCCUGGUAUCAGAG
rnacentral:tRNA from 1 species